rnacentral:rRNA from 1 species
UACGUAGGUGGCAAGCGUUGUCCGGAAUUAUUGGGCGUAAAGGGCUCGUAGGCGGUUUGUCGCGUCGGGAGUGAAAUCCACUGGCUUAACUGGUGGCUUGCGGUCGAUACGGGCAUCACUGGAGUUCGGCAGGGGAGACUGGAAUUCCUGGUGUAGCGGUGAAAUGCGCAGAUAUCAGGAGGAACACCGGUGGCGAAGGCGGGAUCUCUGGGCCAUAACUGACGCUGAGGAGCGAAAGCAUCGGGGAGCGAACAGG